rnacentral:rRNA from 1 species
GGUUGAUCCUGCCGGAGGCCAUUGCUAUCGGAAUCCGAUUUAGCCAUGCUAGUCGCACGGGUUUAGACCCGUGGCGAACAGCUCAGUAACACGUGGCCAAACUGCCCUGUGGACGGGGAUAAUCUCGGGAAACUGAGGCUAAUCCCCGAUAGGGCUUCCAUCCUGGAGUGGAGGAAGUCCAAAAGUUGCGCUGCGGCACCACAGGAUGUGGCUGCGGCCGAUUAGGUAGACGGUGGGGUAACGGCCCACCGUGCCAGUAAUCGGUACGGGUGAUGAGAGUCAGAGCCCGGAGACGGUAUCUGAGACAAGAUACCGGGCCCUACGGGGCGCAGCAGGCGCGAAACCUUUACACUGCACGACAGUGCGAUAGGGGGAUUCCGAGUGCGAGGGCAUACAGUCCUCGCUUUUCUGGACCGUAAGGAGGUCCAAGAAUAAGGGCUGGGCAAGACCGGUGCCAGCCGCCGCGGUAAUACCGGCAGCCCGAGUGAUGGCCGAUAUUAUUGGGCCUAAAGCGUCCGUAGCU